AUGGAUCCGUCGGGCGCGUUCGCGCGGAGCUCGAGCAAUGUGUCGCUGGCGUCACUGGUGAGGAGCGGGAGCGGCGGCAGCGGGAGCAGCCGCGGGAGGGGCGGCGCCGGCGGCAGCCGGAGGAUGGUGCGCCGGGUGCUCCGCGGCGUCAUCACCUUCAUCUUCGCCAUCGCCGGCCUGUUCCUGGGAGCCGUCACCGGCGGGCUGAUCGGACUGGCCACCGAGAGCGGCCUCUUCCGCGGCACCGGCAUCGGCGCCAUCACUGGGGCGCUCGUGUCCAUCGAGGUCGUCGACUCCUCCAUCCGCCUCUGGCGCUCCCGCCGGUCCGGGAUCUGGAGCAUCUUGUACGUGCUUAAUGUGAUCUACAGCCUCCUGACGGGCAGGCUCGUCCGCGAGAAGGUUGAUCCGGCAGUGCAGCGGGUGGUCCGCAGCCAGAUGAAUGCAGUGGACUCAUCACAGUUCAGGGAGGCCCCUGACCUCUUCGAGAUCGAGGGAACCAACGGGAUGCCGAGGGCGUCCAUCGACAAACUGCCCGAGGGAAUCAUCACCGAGGAGUAUAACCGGAAUGCCGUCGGUGACCUCUCUGGGUGCUCAGUAUGCCUGCAGGAUUUCCAGAUUGGGGAGAAGGUGCGGAGCUUGCCCGAUUGCCUGCACGUGUUCCACGUGCCGUGCAUCGACGGUUGGCUGAUCAAGCACGGAUCGUGCCCGCUCUGCAGGAGGAAGCUCUAG
rnacentral:rRNA from 1 species